AUUGAACGCUGGCGGCAGGCUUAACACAUGCAAGUCGCGCGAGCGGCGGACGGGUGAGUAAUGUCUGGGAAACUGCCUGAUGGAGGGGGAUAACUACUGGAAACGGUAGCUAAUACCGCAUACCAUAAGAUGUGCCCAGAUGGGUUUAGCUUGUAGGUGGGGUAAUGGCUCACCUAGGCGACGAUCCCUAGCUGGUCUGAGAGGAUGACCAGUCACACUGGAACUGAGACACGGUCCAGACUCCUACGGGAGGCAGCAGUGGGGAAUAUUGCACAAUGGGCGAAAGCCUGAUGCAGCCAUGCCGCGUGUAUGAAGAAGGCCUUCGGGUUGUAAAGUACUUUCAGCGAGGAGGCGUUACUCGCAGAAGAAGCACCGGCUAACUCCGUGCCAGCAGCCGCGGUAAUAC
rnacentral:rRNA from 1 species